CCUCAUCGCCUUCAAUCCAUCAAACAGUAAGCACAUAUCAAGCAUCUAUCAGACAGGCAAUUCAAUUCUCCUGCACCACUGAAUCACCAGUCCUCAUCGCCUUCAAUCCAUCAAACAGUAAGCACAUAUCAAGUAUCUAUCAGACAGGCAAUUCAAUUCUCCUGCACCACUGAACCACCAGUCCUCAUCGCCUUCAAUCCAUCAAACAGUAAGCACAUAUCAAGUAUCUAUCAGACAGGCAGUAUGUAUCCUUUACCAAACAUUUUCAAAGACGUGUUCUAAUCUUUUUUUUUUUUUGUUUAUUUCAGAUUCAAUUCUCCUGCACCACUGA